UGCUCCCUCUCUCACAUCCCUUGCAUGGUGGAGGGUGAAACUUUCUGGAAACCCCUCCCACAUGCAGGGUUUGCAGGAUGGUGAGCC
ensembl:miRNA MIR188 microRNA 188